AAAAUGCGAAACGUGAUGCGAUUUGCAUGAAUCUGUGAGUCAUCUAAUCUUUGAACGCGAAUGGCACUGUUAUGUAAGUAGCAGUAUGUCUGUUUGAGAAUCGCAAAACAAGAUCAACUCUAGUUGAGAGUUGGGAUUGGUCUUAUAUAACCUGUUUAUAUUUGACUUGAAUGAAUCGAGUUGAUGAGCUUCCCAGUGCGGCUCAAUGUGUGCUAGCGAGACAGUCGUCCCGAUCUCACAUUAUUGUCGCAUUGCAGAGUUCUGUGCACAGCUCGCUAAACCCUUUGUCAUCAUCAAAUACGAUCUCAAAUCAGGCAAGAUUACCCGCUGAACUUAA
rnacentral:misc_RNA from 1 species